rnacentral:rRNA from 1 species
UACGUAGGGUGCAAGCGUUGUCCGGAAUUAUUGGGCGUAAAGAGCUCGUAGGCGGUCUGUCGCGUCGGCUGUGAAAACUCGGGGCUCAACCCCGAGCCUGCAGUCGAUACGGGCAGACUAGAGUGCUGUAGGGGAGACUGGAAUUCCUGGUGUAGCGGUGAAAUGCGCAGAUAUCAGGAGGAACACCGGUGGCGAAGGCGGGUCUCUGGGCAGUAACUGACGCUGAGGAGCGAAAGCGUGGGGAGCGAUCCGG